rnacentral:rRNA from 1 species
GUCGAAUGACUUGGAAAAGUCAGUCAAAGAGGGUAAAAACCCCGUAGACGAAAUGUGGAAGACACCUAGGAGGAUCCUGAGUACGGCGGAACACGAGAAAUUCCGUCGGAAUCCGGGAGGACCAUCUCCCAAGGCUAAAUACUCCCUAGUGACCGAUAGUGAACCAGUACCGUGAGGGAAAGGUGAAAAGCACCCCGGAAGGGGAGUGAAAUAGAACCUGAAACCGUGUGCCUACAACAAGUCAAAGCCCGUUAAUGGGUGAUGGCGUGCCUUUUGUAGAAUGAACCGGCGAGUUACGAUUGCAUGCGAGGUUAAGUUGAAGAGACGGAGCCGCAGCGAAAGCGAGUCUGAAUAGGGCGUUUGAGUAUGUAGUCGUAGACCCGAAACCAUGUGAUCUACCCAUGUCCAGGUUGAAGGUGCGGUAAAACGCACUGGAGGACCGAACCCACGUACGUUGAAAAGUGCGGGGAUGAGGUGUGGGUAGCGGAGAAAUUCCAAACGAACUUGGAGAUAGCUGGUUCUCUCCGAAAUAGCUUUAGGGCUAGCCUCGGAAUUGAGAAUGAUGGAGGUAGAGCACUGUUUGGACUAGGGGCCCAUCUCGGGUUACCGAAUUCAGAUAAACUCCGAAUGCCAUUCAUUCAUAUCCGGGAGUCAGACUGUGAGUGAUAAGAUCCAUAGUCGAAAGGGAAACAGCCCAGACCACCAGCUAAGGUCCCAAAAUAUAUGUUAAGUGGAAAAGGAUGUGGGGUUGCACAGACAACUAGGAUGUUGGCUUAGAAGCAGCCACCAUUUAAAGAGUGCGUAAUAGCUCACUAGUCGAGUGACCCUGCGCCGAAAAUGUACCGGGGCUAAACAUAUUACCGAAGCUGUGGAGUACACCUUUAGGUGUAUUGGUAGGAGAGCGUUCUAAGGGCGUUGAAGGCAGAUCGUGAGGACUGCUGGAGCGCUUAGAAGUGAGAAUGCCGGUAUGAGUAGCGAAAGACAGGUGAGAAUCCUGUCCACCGAAUGACUAAGGUUUCCUGGGGAAGGCUCGUCCGCCC